AUAGCAGAGACCCCUGAAUCGACAGAAUUUCAGAGGCUAUUGCGAUUCGGUAAAGGAAGGGUGGGAGACAUCUGGGCGCUCGGGGGUCACAUUAGCGCAGAAUUUGGAACGGUGUGUGCACUUUCAUGGUCGUUUACAUUUAAUUUCCUUAAAUUUAAAUUUCUCUCUUCCAUUUGGAUUCAUUUUUCUAUUGAUAACGGCUAUAGCCUCACGCGCGUGCGUCCAGUUUCAAUAAUCUUAUUGCGCAAACCCGAUGACACAUUUGGGUUUAUUCCAUCUAUAUACGCUGAUCAGCCAGGAGUUAUGAAUUUCUAUUUUGCAGUAUUUGCCUUCAUGGCACCGUGCAUUUUUGUUAUAGUAACAGUAGGGGUAUCAUGUAUAAUUCAUCGAAGGAGGCAGAGUCGACUUUGAAAACGCUCACUUCUAUGAUGGACGCUCUGGUUCGUAUUAGUGAUCACCAUCAGUCACAGACACCAGAGCACAACCCACACCUCUGGAAGCCUCCCUGGGAGCUCUCAUCAUGACAAACCACAAGCACGCUGGCAGUGAAGAUGCCAAGACCCUCAUUAAGAAAGAGCUAACCAACCUCAUCAAGGCUAAGCCGCCAAACAUUGCUGGGAAGGGUGGUCCUGAAGUGGGGCACCUGAUGACAAUGCUGGACCAGGACGCUGACGGCUCCAUGAACUUCAAGAAGUACAUCACCUUGAUUGGAUCCCUUACAUGUGCAACUGUGCCCUAGCGGGAAAAUGCCAGCUUCCAUCUGCUUUGUGCAGUGUAUUACAUUACACUUUUGCAGCCCAGUACAUCAUUGGAAAUG